rnacentral:lncRNA from 1 species
CGUUAACUUACGAUCGGGUGCAGAGUGACAUUCUCCAGCGGGCCCACACCUGCGUCCCUCACAAUUGAUAUUAAUGAUUUUUUUCAUUUAUGAUUGUUUUUGUGCUGUUAAAUAUAAAAUAUGAAGGUAAAAAAAAUGCUUCUGCCCCCCAUGUUCAUAUUUAACAUGAGAACAAUGCUCCCCUUGUCCCUGGUGAAGUCAAUGCCUGUGGCAUUGAGUAUGCAUUGAUAAAUGGUAGUCAGGAAUCUAGAGUAUGAAGGGAGAAUCAAGAAGAGAGAAAUUAGAUUGGAGGUAAAAAUUGUCAGAAUAACAUUUUAUACAGUUAAGUUUAUUUUACUUCAAAAAAAGAAAAGAUACUCAAUCAAGGAUUUUAUCAGAAAAAUAAACUCUAUUAUGCUACUAUCAAAAAAUAUUGAUGCAGGGUAUUUUAGUGACAUUACAAAAACUUUUCAUCUAAGACUUCAAACA